GGAGCCCCGCUGGCCGACCCCCGGCACGGCUGUGCCCCCCGCCGCCCCGCUGCCGCCAGCUCCUCCGUGCGCUCUUCUGACGUAGCGAAACCUGCGGGCAGCGCUGCGCUCCCGUUCCUGCUCUAAGAACCGCCGCGGGGGCCUUCCGCGGGGCGAAACCACCGCACCCAGCCUGGCACGGCCCCCGGCACCGCCUUCCCCUCUGCUUUUGGCUUCGGCUUUUUUGUUGUUUCCAUCUCCAGCACGGCCGGCAACGGGAGUCCCAUUGGAGACAGUGUUCGCGAGGGAGAAUCUGAACCGAAGGUGCAAUUUACGUAUAUACACACACAUGUAUAUAUAAUAGCAUCUUCUAUACACGCACGAAGUGUAUAAAUAUACAUAUACACUCACACAUAUAUAUACACUCACAUAUAUAUAUGCGUACGUAUGUAUAUGGAAGUAUAUAUACACCGUGUAUAUAUGUGUAUAUAUACAAUAUAUAUAUAUUGUGUGUAUAUAUAUGUAUAUAAGGAUAUAUACACGCACGGAAGUUGCAGUCUGACUUCAGCAAAGCCCCUCUGUUGCUCCAAGCCGACGGAUUUCCCAUUGCCGUUCCGUGAGCAGCGGCACAAUUUGGGGGCUCCGUUGCUGCUCCUCUGGAAGCGUCGGGAUCUGUGCCGGGGGCCGCCCCCCCCGUCCUGUAUGGAAACUGGAGUGUCAUUCGAUCGAUGGCGGAAAAAAAGAGGAGAGAAAGAAAAGAAGAAGCGAAUAGAAACAAACCAAAGCCGCCGCAUCGCAGCGGGGGGAUCUCAGGGCUGGCUGAGAACCCGUUAUUAAACUCAUCAGAGUGAUAAUGAAGAAGUGCGGAUGCGGAGGGACACCUCGCCCUUCCCCCGCCCCACCGCUCCCCCUUAUUUUGUACUCCUUUUCUCUUUCCUUCCCCCCUUAUCCCACCCCAAAGCGCUGCCGGCCCCGCGCAGAUCCCCUCUCGAUCUCCGCCGUUCCCGUCCCGUCCCCGCGGCACCGUUUGUCCGUUCGCUGCGCGAAGGAUCGGCGCUUUUCGAUUGCUUUAGGAACGCGCCGGUCUUCGUGGUACCGACACAUCGAAUUUAUUGCUAAUUACUGGACGACGUCGGGAUCGGAAAGUGCCAAAAGACUCUCGGGGCCGGGAGGCUGCACUGUGCCGCCCCAUCGCCACCUUCGGCGUGUCGUAAAGGCUCACAGAUGAGUGCAUCUGGAGGUGCGAACUGCUCCGUUUCAGCCCCGGUUGGAUGGAUGCGAGUGCAGCCGGGCGUGCGUAGGGGCUGCCUUUGUUCCUCCGUUUAUCACCCUCGAUGAUAAAACUCGGGGAAGAAAUUAAAGCUUUAGCUUUAGCACAGCGGUGGCUGAGUAGGUGGGACUCAUCCCGAUGGCUCUGUUUUUCUUUUCGGCGUUCGUUUACACGGGCGGGGUGGAUCCAGCCCUCACGAGUUGGACUGGGUUGUCCUUACGGGUCCCCUCCAACUCGGGAUGCCCGAUUGCUCUAUGGCUCUAAAUCCACGCGCUGGGAUCCGCACAGCGCCUAUUUCCAAAGGGGAGGGGAAAAAAAAGACGCAGGCAUCUUUGGUGAGCCCUGAGUGUAACAGCAUCAGCUGCGUACCAAAACGCCUCGGGGGGGUUUGUAAGCAGGGCUGCAUCUGGGUCUUGCACUGAGCCGCUAUUUAGAACGAUCAAACAGAAGCUGAGCCACGCACAGCUGCAAUAUCUAGCUGUGAAAUAAGCAAUUGAAAAAUGAAAUUAAAGCAGAGAAAAGCUUUUACUUGUUAAAGGUCUGCGUGCGUUACUUGCUUUUGCCGCAGCCCUGCAGAAAGGUGCACGCCCCGUGGGGCAACGUGGCUGCUCCCUGUGUUUCACACUGGGCUUCGUGUUACCAACACCUCUGUGGUGCAGGUGCCGGGCAGCUGCGUGGGCACUGAGGCUGUGCAGGAGGAUGGGACGGACAGAGAGAAGUGAGGCGGCAGCAAAGCUUCACGCUGAUGUUCAUUUCUUACACACUACGUAAGGCAGUGCUCUCUAAGGUGGAUGCAAUUCAGCCCGAACCUUCAAGCUCUUACCCUUCAGGUCCUCCCUACAGUAGCAGGCACUGCUCGACUCCCAGACCCUGCCUCUCGCUGUGCUCCAUUUUCCUAUCUCCUCAGUUUGGCUUUUGAGAGCUUCAACAGAAUUGUUGAAUGACAUUUCCUACGGCGGGGCUUUUCCAAACAAAUUAACUUCAUCUCUGCUUGCAAGAAAUAGAAAAACAUAUUUUGCUGGUGCCUGCCUGGAACCGUGCGUGCCUGCGAGGUCCGGAGGGUGACACCUCUUCCACAGCAUUUCCUUUAAUACACCCGUAGAGGAGAAACUAAUGGCUGGGAGCUGUGCCUACGAGAAAGCUGAAAACAUUCUGUACAAAAAUACACUGACCAAAGCCAAGCGUUUGGGCUGUUGGAACGCAGAGCUGGCUUGGGUGCAUCUGCAGAGGGGAUCGGAAAGCAAAUAGUUUGACCUGAGCUGGAAAGGGAGCGCAGAAGGAUGGGACGGUGGGCCCCUCACUCAGCAGAAGGAGGGAGAGCUGCCAUGGGUCCAUCCCACUCUUUGCAUGAAGGCAGAAUCCAGCAGCCCUACAACUGCACGUUGCUAAAAGGAACGGCAGUACAUCUCCGUUGUGGCAUCCAACACAACGAGGGUUCCCAGUAUCUGUCAGUGUGAAUGUCAAAAAUAGGCUGUUUAACGGACUAAAUUAUUUUAUCAGCCCUCCUUUUGGAAGGGAGAAUCCUGCUGAGUAAAGCACAAGAAGUAAAUAAAGCCUCACCAUUGAGGACCUGGCUCCAGUGGGAGUUUUGCUGGAGAAGGGCCCGUACGAACUGACCUAUUUAAUUAAAACGUGACGGCGUGCAUUUGCCUUUACAUCACUACAGCCCAGUGUCAGCCUUAGGGUCGCAGAUCUGCUACAGCUGAGCAAAGUGUCCCGUCUGGGGUCCCCCCUCUUGGUUAGAAAGAAAGCAAAAGGAUGCUCUUAGGGAAAUGGGCUAACGAUUAAAAAUAAGCGUAAUGGUCUAAAUGAACACUGCCGGCAGUAGUAAAAAGGAUGGUUUCAUUGUGUCGGUUGAUGUCGGUUAAUCAUUUUGGGGCCAUCCAGAUCUAAACCGGGGUAAUUUAUUGACUGCAAUAAAAACUGGACGUGUGCCACAUUAUUCAAGAAAAAACAAUACGCUGCAAAAACAAUACGGAGAAGAGGUAAUUUGUACAGAGUUCACGAGACAAUUAUAUAUCAUCUAAGCACAAAACUGACUCACUGUGCCCUUGGCUCCAUAUAUUAGGAGAGGUUUGAAGGAUGUGCUGAACAUACCGAGAGUCCAGGAAUUUUAACUGAAAUCCUGCCUGUAUGCUCAGGUAGGCAUCCAGGGACUGGUGUGAGCCAGCAUACAGACCAGGAGAAGGAUUCAGGAUUCGGGACUCAGGACACAACUUCAUUAUUCGGAGCUGUUUUGCUGAGGAGUGCCUUGAAACUUAAUCAGAAUCAUUGGAAAACUUUGAUGAACAAUUCAAGACCAGAAAAAAAAAAAAAAACCAACAAAAAAACCCCAACCAUUUCAAGAAUUAAUUACUGGUUUCAAACCCUGACGGCGGUCUGAAAGCUGCCUGAAUAUUACAUGCUUCUCUGGCACUUCUGCUGGUGCAGAGCUUCUCUGGAGCAAUCCGGAGGGGACGCCUGUAUGUGAGCAGAUCAUUGAAUCAUAGAAUCACCAAGGUUGGAAAAGACCUACAGGAUCACCCAGUCCAACCAUCCACCCAUCACCAACAGUUCUCACUAAACCAUGUCCCUCAACAAGAUGUGAUCCUUGUUCAAACAGAGCAAAUCUCUGCGGUGCCCGUACCGUGGCAUGGAAGCUGGGCUGUGCCCAUCGAAGCCCAAAAAUGACCUGGAUCAAAACAAAAGCAAGUUGCUGAAUUAUUCUUCAAAUUGCCAAGUCAUAUCUGCACUGCAACCUUCUGAACUCUUGUUGGAUGCUUUUCCUUGAACUUUUCAAGCUAUUUAAGGAAUGUACAAAUAUUUUCUUUGUUGAUUAUGUAAAAAAUUUCAUUAAAUGAAGCUCUCCCCCCUC